CCAGAGCUGGUUAGGAGUCUUUGACAACAAUUAUGCCAGCCUCUGGCUCCUAUUUCCCACAGUCAUUAAAUGGUGCUUUGCGGUCCGCGUAUCCACGUAACAAUGCACCGAGAAACAAAUGACAAAGCAUACCCGAUCCCCGAUCAUUUCUGCGAGCGCAGGUGCAGCGAACACCGCGGUUCUUAUCUCGUCGUUAACGGGACCGAGGUGCAGGCGGCGCCCUAAUUACACGUCAAUCAGGCAGACGUGAAAUUAUCAGCAGUGGGUGCACGUGGACUGGAUCGUCGCCUGGAACACCGAGGUUAACCGUCCAUGAAAACGACAGAAGAGGGGAAAUCGUCUUCCUCGUACAGGAAACAACCGGAAUAAUCCGCUUCGCAGAGCCCGUCUGGACCCAAAUCAGCGCUAGAACUCGCGGUCUUCUCAUCAAAGACCACCCGAAGUCUCUCCAGACCCCAGAAACAGAACAGAUUAACGAGACAGUUGGAAAAAACGAAGAGCUCUACACAGAGCUCGUAAGCAGGCCAUUCUUUCUGGGGCCUUCCAUGCGUGGCUAAUGUGCUGGAACAAAGCGCCAAAGAGAGCCAAUCAGAGGAGACGACGAACGGAGGAGAGAUUAGCGGUUCCAACCGACCGGAACCGCUUAUGCCUCCCAAAUGAGCACGCCAUCGCUUCGCACCGCGCGUGCGCGCGGUCGACAUCGCGCCCGUUUAACCAUGCGCUGGACCGUAUGAACCAGCCCGAAGUCUCAGCCAGGAACAGUGGCUGAGUGGGACCUUCACGAAAACAGAAUAUACUGAAAAUAAAGGGAAUUACGAUGUA